rnacentral:rRNA from 1 species
UACGUAGGUGGCAAGCGUUGUCCGGAGUUACUGGGCGUAAAGCGCGCGCAGGCGGCCACGCGCGCCCGGCGUGAAAGCCCCCGGCUCAACCGGGGAGGGUCGUCGGGGACGGCGUGGCUUGAGGGCGGUAGGGGCCGGUGGAAUCCCUGGUGUAGUGGUGAAAUGCGUAGAGAUCAGGGGGAACACCCGUGGCGAAGGCGGCCGGCUGGGCCGACCCUGACGCUGAGGCGCGAAGGCGUGGGGAGCGAACGGG